UAUCAGACUUUGGAAAACCUGGUAUUACUGGGUCAAGAUCAUCAUUUCCUGUUGCAUUAAACUUAAAUUCAACAGAACUGAUGAACUUGACCCAGUGGUACCAGGUUUCCCAAAGUCUAAUA
rnacentral:miRNA from 1 species